rnacentral:misc_RNA from 1 species
AAUCUCCGUGCUUCCUUUUCAGCAAGCUAGUUUGCCCACAAGCUUCGCAAAGCCACUUAACACCUCAAUCACCAUCAUCUCGUCUCUUAUUUUAGCACAUGAUUUAACCCGUAUAACCAACAGAAUCAUUUCUUAUUCAACUAAGUACUGAUUCCAAUUUAGUAUUAAUUUUCCUGUUUACCAGAAAUUAUCUGAAGUUCCCUA